AGAUUAGCCAUGCAUGUCUAAGUAUAAGCAAUUAUACCGUGAAACUGCGAAUGGCUCAUUAAAUCAGUUAUCGUUUAUUUGAUAGUACCUUACUACUUGGAUAACCGUGGUAAUUCUAGAGCUAAUACAUGCUAAAAACCCCAACUUCGGGAGGGGUGUAUUUAUUAGAUAAAAAACCAAUGCCCUUCGGGGCUCCUUGGUGAUUCACAAUAACUUCUCAGAUCGCAUGGCUUUACGCCGGCGACGGUUCAUUCAAAUUUCUGCCCUAUCAACUUUCGAUGGUAAGGUAGUGGCUUACCAUGGUUUCAACGGGUAACGGGGAAUUAGGGUUCGAUUCCGGAGAGGGGGCCGGAGGAACGGCCACCACAUCCAAGGAAGGCAGCAGGCGCGCAAAUUACACAAUUCCGAUACGGAGAUGUAGUGACAAUAAAUACUGAUACAGGGCUCUUUUGGGUCUUGUAAUUGGAAUGAGUACAAUUUAAAUCUCUUAACGAGGAACAAUUGGAGGGCAAGUCUGGUGCCAGCAGCCGCGGUAAUUCCAGCUCCAAUAGCGUAUAUUAAAGUUGUUGCAGUUAAAAAGCUCGUAGUUGAACCUUUGGCCUGGCUGGCAGGUCCGCCUCACCGCGUGCACUUGUCCGGCCGGGCCUUUUCUUCUGGAGAACCGCAUGCCCUUCACUGGGUGUGUUGGGGACCAGGACUUUUACUUUGAAAAAAUUAGAGUGUUCAAAGCAGGCCUUUGCUCGAAUACGUUAGCAUGGAAUAAUAGAAUAGGACGUGCGGUCCUAUUUUGUUGGUUUCUAGGACCGCCGUAAUGAUUAAUAGGGACAGUCGGGGGCAUCAGUAUUCAAUUGUCAGAGGUGAAAUUCUUGGAUUUAUUGAAGACUAACUACUGCGAAAGCAUUUGCCAAGGAUGUUUUCAUUAAUCAGUGAACGAAAGUUAGGGGAUCGAAGACGAUCAGAUACCGUCGUAGUCUUAACCAUAAACUAUGCCGACUAGGGAUCGGGCGGUGUUUCUAUUGUGACCCGCUCGGCACCUUACGAGAAAUCAAAGUGUUUGGGUUCUGGGGGGAGUAUGGUCGCAAGGCUGAAACUUAAAGAAAUGACGGAAGGCACCACCAGCGUU
rnacentral:rRNA from 2 species